GUCUACAGCCAUACCACCCUGAACACGCUCGAUCUUGGAAGCUAAACAGGGUCAGGCCUGGUUAGUACUUGGAUGGGAGGCUGCCUGGGAAUACCAGGUGCUGUAGGCU
rnacentral:rRNA from 1 species